rnacentral:rRNA from 1 species
UCAAAGAUUAAGCCAUGCAUGUCUAAGUAUAAGCAAUCUAUACUGUGAAACUGCGAAUGGCUCAUUAAAUCAGUUAUCGUUUAUUUGAUAGUACCUUACUACUUGGAUAACCGUGGUAAUUCUAGAGCUAAUACAUGCUAAAAACCUCGACUUCGGAAGGGGUGUAUUUAUUAGAUAAAAAACCAAUGCCCUUCGGGGCUCCUUGGUGAAUCAUGAUAACUUAACGAAUCGCAUGGCCUUGCGCCGGCGAUGGUUCAUUCAAAUUUCUGCCCUAUCAACUUUCGAUGGUAGCAUAGUGGGCUACCAUGGUAUCAACGGGUAACGGGGAAUUAGGGUUCUAUUCCGGAGAGGGAGCCUGAGAAACGGCUACCACAUCCAAGGAAGGCAGCAGGCGCGCAAAUUACCCAAUCCCGACACGGGGAGGUAGUGACAAUAAAUACUGAUACAGGGCUCUUUUGGGUCUUGUAAUUGGAAUGAGUACAAUUUAAAUACCUUAACGAGGAACAAUUGGAGGGCAAGUCUGGUGCCAGCAGCCGCGGUAAUUCCAGCUCCAAUAGCGUAUAUUAAAGUUGUUGCAGUUAAAAAGCUCGUAGUUGAACCUUGGGCCUGGCUGGCCGGUCUGCCUCACCGCAUGUACUGGUUCGGCCGGGCCUUUCCUCCUGGGGAUCCGCAUGCCCUUCACUGGGCGUGUUGGGGAACCAGGACUUUUACUUUGAAAAAAUUAGAGUGUUCAAAGCAGGCCUUUGCUCGAAUACAUUAGCAUGGAAUAAUAGAAUAGGACGUGCGGUCCUAUUUUGUUGGUUUCUAGGACCGCCGUAAUGAUUAAUAGGGAUAGUCGGGGGCAUCAGUAUUCAGUUGUCAGAGGUGAAAUUCUUGGAUUUACUGAAGACUAACUACUGCGAAAGCAUUUGCCAAGGAUGUUUUCAUUAAUCAGUGAACGAAAGUUAGGGGAUCGAAGACGAUCAGAUACCGUCGUAGUCUUAACCGUAAACUAUGCCGACUAGGGAUCGGGCGAUGUUAUUCUUUUGACUCGCUCGGCACCUUACGAGAAAUCAAAGUC